UACGGAGGGUGCAAACGUUGCUCGGAAUCAUUGGGCGUAAAGCGCACGUAGGCGGUCCAGCAAGUCGGGUGUGAAAGCCCUCGGCUUAACCGAGGAAGUGCAUUCGAAACUACUGGACUUGAAUACUGAAGAGGAUCGCGGAAUUCCCGGUGUAGAGGUGAAAUUCGUAGAUAUCGGGAGGAACACCGGUGGUGUAGACGGCUCACUGGACCGUAACUGACGCUGAGACACGAAAGCGUGGGUAGCAAACAGG
rnacentral:rRNA from 1 species